rnacentral:rRNA from 1 species
AGUGAACGCUGGCGGUAGGCCUAACACAUGCAAGUCGAACGGCAGCACAGUAAGAGCUUGCUCUUACGGGUGGCGAGUGGCGGACGGGUGAGGAAUACAUCGGAAUCUACUUUUUCGUGGGGGAUAACGUAGGGAAACUUACGCUAAUACCGCAUACGACCUACGGGUGAAAGCAGGGGAUCUUCGGACCUUGCGCGAUUGAAUGAGCCGAUGUCGGAUUAGCUAGUUGGCGGGGUAAAGGCCCACCAAGGCGACGAUCCGUAGCUGGUCUGAGAGGAUGAUCAGCCACACUGGAACUGAGACACGGUCCAGACUCCUACGGGAGGCAGCAGUGGGGAAUAUUGGACGAUGGGCGCAAGCCUGAUCCAGCCAUACCGCGUGGGUGAAGAAGGCCUUCGGGUUGUAAAGCCCUUUUGUUGGGAAAGAAAAGCAGCAGGUUAAUACCCCGCUGUUCUGACGGUACACAAAGAAUAAGCACCGGCUAACUUCG